GGGUUGUGAGGUUAAGCGACUAAGCGUACACGGUGGAUGUCCUGGCAGUCAGAGGCGAUGAAGUACGU
rnacentral:rRNA from 1 species